rnacentral:rRNA from 1 species
UACAGAGGUCUCAAGCGUUGUUCGGAUUCAUUGGGCGUAAAGGGUGCGUAGGCGGCGGGGCAAGUCAGGUGUGAAAUCCCGGGGCUCAACCCCGGAACUGCACUUGAUACUGCUUCGCUAGAGUACUGGAGAGGAGACUGGAAUUUACGGUGUAGCAGUGAAAUGCGUAGAGAUCGUAAGGAAGACCAGUGGCGAAGGCGAGUCUCUGGACAGUUACUGACGCUGAGGCACGAAGGCCAGGGGAGCAAACGGG